GACGAACGCUGGCGGCGUGCUUAACACAUGCAAGUCGAACGGAAAGGCCCUGCUUUUGUGGGGUGCUCGAGUGGCGAACGGGUGAGUAACACGUGAGUAACCUGCCCUUGACUUUGGGAUAACUUCAGGAAACUGGGGCUAAUACCGGAUAGGAGCUCCUGCUGCAUGGUGGGGGUUGGAAAGUUUCGGCGGUUGAGAUUGACUCGCGGCUUAUCAGCUUGUUUGUGGGGUAGUGGCCUAACAAGGCUUUGAACGGUAGCCCGCCUGAGAGGGUGAACGGCCACCUUGGGACUGAGAUACGGCCCAGACUCCUACGGGAGGCAGAAGUGGGGAAUAUUGCACAAUGGGCGGAAGCCUGAUGCAGCAACGCCGCGUUCGGGAUGACGGCCUUCGGGUUGUAAACCGCUUUCGCCUGUGACGAAGCGUGAGUGACGGUAAUGGGUAAAGAAGCACCGGCUAACUACGUG
rnacentral:rRNA from 1 species